rnacentral:rRNA from 1 species
GAUCUUGGUUCAGGAUGAACGCUAGCUACAGGCUUAACACAUGCAAGUCGAGGGGCAGCAUUGGAGUAGCAAUACUUCAGAUGGCGACCGGCGCACGGGUGAGUAACACGUAUCCAACCUGCCGCUUACUCGGGGAUAGCCUUUCGAAAGAAAGAUUAAUACCCGAUGGUAUAAAGAGUUCGCAUGUUCUCUUUAUUAAAGAAUUUCGGUAAGCGAUGGGGAUGCGUUCCAUUAGAUAGUUGGCGGGGUAACGGCCCACCAAGUCUACGAUGGAUAGGGGUUCUGAGAGGAAGGUCCCCCACAUUGGAACUGAGACACGGUCCAAACUCCUACGGGAGGCAGCAGUGAGGAAUAUUGGUCAAUGGACGAGAGUCUGAACCAGCCAAAGUAGCGUGAAGGAUGACUGCCCUAUGGGUUGUAAACUUCUUUUAUAAGGGAAUAAAGUGAGGGACGUGUCCCUUUUUGUAUGUACCUUAUGAAUAAGGAUCGGCUAACUCCGUGCCAGCCGCCGC